UACGGAGGGGGCUAGCGUUGUUCGGAAUUACUGGGCGUAAAGCGCGCGUAGGCGGCUUUGUAAGUUAGAGGUGAAAGCCCGGGGCUCAACCCCGGAACUGCCUUUAAGACUGCAUCGCUUGAAUCCAGGAGAGGUGAGUGGAAUUCCGAGUGUAGAGGUGAAAUUCGUAGAUAUUCGGAAGAACGCCAGUGGCGAAGGCGGCUCACUGGCCUGGUAUUGACGCUGAGGUGCGAAAGCGUGGGGAGCAAACAGG
rnacentral:rRNA from 1 species